rnacentral:rRNA from 1 species
AACGCCGCGUGAGGGAUGAAGGCCUUCGGGUCGUAAACCUCUGUCAGAGGGGAAGAACCGUCGGUGGGAUAAUACCCCAUCGGCCUGACGGUACCCUCAGAGGAAGCACCGGCUAACUCCGUGCAGCCCCCUCGGUGACUGAGCGGGCUGGCAAGGCGCAUA